rnacentral:lncRNA from 1 species
GCUGUGCAAUAAUAAAAUCCUACUUCCACUACACCUGGUGUCAGAGAUUGGCUUGCUGCACAACGGGUGAGCGAACUCACUUCAGGUUUGCUAUCAAUUUGGUGACCCAGAUGGGACAAUGUCCUAAGUGGAUGUCUCGCCUGUGGCACACUGGCCUCCAGCUAAAGGCCUCUCUUGGAAGCUGUCCUGCAGCUGCCUGAGCCCCUGGUCUCAGGGACAGCCCCAGGCAACUGGCUGCUGACCAGACGUCGUUGGCCCACGGCGCUUUUGCUAUGGUGGUGGAAGAAACUAGGUUCGGGAUCCGAGAAGACGUCUCUUGACACAAUUGGAAACACUCGUUAUAACACCAAGGCUUUGACUGGGACAUCAUAUUUGAGAAAAACACACAAGCUCGGAUAUGAUGAGACAGCUUUUGAGGAACCAAGGUUGACUUUCUGGAAUAAAGCCACUUGGAAAUAUUGGCCUGAAAAACUUCUUAUUAAAUACCUGGUUACUUACUUACAUGAUACAGGCCUAACUUCAGGAGCCCACCAGCAUCACCGCCUUAUUAAAAGACUGGUUCAAUGAGAUGAAACGACCUAUGCCCCAUUUCAGCAGGAAGUAGCUAGAUCGGUUGCCACCCCAAAUCCCUCAAGAUUGAGGGACGGACAUAAAAUAGGGGGGAGUUGAUAUCGACCCUGAUAUCAGUUUCCCCACAUUAAACCCAGCAUAUAUGGGGUUAAAACCCAAACACUCAUUCCCUGCUUACUCUCUGGCUUCCUGGCUCCAGAAUCCACUAUCCUCCAUGGAGACAGACACCGUCAAAGACAAGCACCUGGACCAUCUCCUCCCCACAAAGAGAUACAGACUGGUGGGAAAGCUUCUGACCAGCAAGGUCAUGAACUCCCUCCUGUCUGCAAGUGUCUCAAGGCCAGAGACAGGCUGGUGGGAAAGCUCCGACCAGCAAGGCCAUAUGCUCCCCCUCCCCUACCUAAAGCCCCAAAUAAAAACCCUUCCUUUUAGCUUUUUCGGGGAGUUUGGGAUUUCAGCAUUAGCUGCCCUCUCUCCUUGCUCAGUGCUGUGCAAAAAUAAAGUUCCUACUUUCUUCCACCACACCCGGUGUCAGAGAUCGGCUUGCUGUGCAACGGGUGAGCGAACUCACUUCAGGUUCCAUAUCAGUCACACCAUGCUGUGGUAGGUGUCCCACAUAAAAUAGAGGAAGAUGGGCAUGGAUGUUAUCUCAGGGCCAAUCUUCCUCAAAAAAAAAAAAAAAUAAAGGAAACUAAAGCUCAGAGAGAAGUGACUGCCCUCAGACAUCACAGUUAAGAGGAGGGAUUCGAACCCAUAACCCUGCCUCCCUCCUUGUUCAGCCCCCAACCUACACUGCCUCUUUCCACCAUUAACAAUACCAGCCUUAUGCACGGAGGAUGAGGAAUCUGCGGGUUGAAGUGGUUUGGAAGGGCCUGGUGGACCAGCUGGGAGGGACCAGGGAAGGGUCUCCAGUCCGUAAGUCCCACGUGGAACCUUCUAGGGCCCGGGGAGGGCCAGGCUGCCACCUGAGUCACCCGCGUCCUCUUCAUCACUGGGGCAGCUCCAAUUUCCUGGGCCCUCCAUCCGUGCCGGGACCUUCGAGUCUCAAAGCUCCCAGGGCUGGGUCCUGUUCUCGUCCUCAUCUUCCAAGUGUGUAGAACCAGAGCUCAGAGAAACUCAUCAACUUGCCCGAGGACACACAGCUGACAAAUGGCUGAGCCUGAAGCAAACUCAAUUCCAAUGCCAGGUGAUAGAGAGGAAGUGUGAGAAAUCAGGCUGGCGUGAAAGUCAUCGUCCAGCCCGCUCCGAGUCCUUACCUCCAUGAGCGGAUGGGGGGAGUCACUUCUUGUCUUCCCACUAUCUUGGCCAAGACAACAGAUUCUCAAGACAGACCAAUGCCGACGUCAGCCAAGGAACCAGCCUUGUGCAGUUGGCUGUGACCUUGGAGAUGAGGUCAUGAGGACAGGCAUGGCUGUCUUGACCCUCCUGGACUGACAGAGAAUAUGGAUAUUCUCUGUGUGGGCACCUAUCUGUCAGUCCAAGAGGUGAUACCUGGAAGGGCGGGAAGAGAAUGAUGGGGCCGGGCAGAAGAGGAAGCUCCUAGGGGCUCCCUUGAGACCUCCUCCCUCCUAGUUUCCUGAUCAUUCGUCUGCGGGAUGCUCCCAUCUUGCUGUGAGCCCUGGGGCCUGCGUUCCUCUCCUCUCACCAGCUGCCAACACCCCAUCGCCCAGCUCACUAGGUCCCUGGAAGCCACCUAAACGAGCAGCCUAUUUUUCACCAAACUCUUGGGCUAUAAGCAAAAGAGACAUACCAAACUGGCUCAAUAAAAAACAAAAGGAAGAAUUUAAUAUGAGGAUCUGGGAACCCAAGGGUGUAUCAGUUAGCAUUUGCUGCCUGACAAACUACCCCCCAAAACUUCAUGACUUGAACCCACAGCUGUUCAUUUAGUUUGCAAUUCUGCGGGUUAUCCACUGGGGCCAGGCUCAGCCAGGCAGCUCUUCUGCUCCCUGCUGGACUCCCUCACGUGUCUGUGGUCAGCCGGCAGGUCCUCCGGGCCCUGAGUGGGCUUCUACAGCCUCAGCUGGGACGAGUGGCCUCUCCUCCACGUCAUCGAUCAUCCUCUAGCCGGCGGCCCCGGGCCUCUUCUCAUGACAGAGGCUGGAUUCCAAGAGUGAGGGCAGAAGUCGACACGCCUCGCAGAGCCAAGGUCGUGAUCACUUCUGCCACAUUCAGUCGGCCAAAGUGUGUCACACGGCCAGCCAGAGGCAAGGGGGUAGGGACGCUGACUGCACCCACGGACGGGAGGGGAAGAACCCAUGGCUGGUUCUGCCAUCUGGCACCAAAGGCUGGAUGUGUGGUCGGAGAGCAGGAAAGCUGCUGGGCCCAGGGCACCUGCUCGCUGACCCUCAGCCCCAUCCCUCACCCCUUGGAAUCCUCUUCUCCAGGGUCGUGGGACCCACCGUUCUCUCCCUCUGUCUCCAUGCCAAUGGGCGCUCACCGCUUCUCCGUCCACCAUCCCGUGGCUUCCACGUCCACCGCACCUCUGUUCGAGGGACCUGCCAACUGGCCCAGAAUCCUUUGCCUUGUGGCUGGAUUUCCGAUGACCCUGGAGAAGGCGUCCAGUGGGUCUGGUGUCAGCCUCAGUCCCCUUGCUCAAAUCUCCGGGGGCCUCGGACCUGUCUGGGGGGGCUCAGUGCUCAGAAAACAGGGGGCAGGUUUUGCCUUACCUGCUGGGAAGACACCCCAAAAAUAUGUCUUCUACACAUGCAGCUUGGUUUUGCUGCUUUAAAAAAAGGAACUUCCACACACAGAGAAGUGGCAGAAGCGGUCACGACCCCCGGAAAUCAACAGCUUCCUCUCCCUGGAGAAUCCUGAUGGGCGGCAGGCAAUGGGGAAACGAGCGUGGAUGAAACCCCCGUGUGAAUCUAUGCAACAGUUGAGGAACGGUCAGUGCUGCUGUGACCGACACAAAGCCACCGACCACGUCACUGUGAUUAGUAAUAAUAGCAGUAGACCGACUUCAGGUUUCGGCUGAGGGCUGUCUGCGUCCCAGCCACCUCCCUACGUUCCUUAUGGGACUCAUAUGUUGUAUCCUCACUGUACCCAUUGAGGGAAAGAGAAGCCAGCCCCACCUUAGAGACGAAGCAGGUGAGGCUCAGAGAUGGCAAGCGACUUGCCCAAGGUCACACAGCCACAUGUGAUGCCAACUCCAGUCUGCCCAAUUCCCAAGCCUACCCCUUAGACCAGCGUGUCC